UUUUCUUUUUGUAGGCGGAUACAAUCGAGACAAAAUUCUCGGAACAAAAAAAUUCUCAUCGCUCAUGUAAGAAGAACUUCCAAACCCGAACGAACAAAAAAAAAAUGAUAAAAUAUGAGAUGGGUCGUCUUCCCUUCUUCGCCAUAGAUCUCUUUUUGAAGCUCUUUCUCAUCUAUUUCCCUUUUUCCCUCAGGGUCUUUAAGAUCUUGGUCUAUUGAGUAUAAUCUGUUUCUUGAAAGCUGUCGGAUGGAUCAGCACGGGCAUUGCCAGUCUCCAUCCAUGGGAGCGGUAGGCAGCGGAGGUCAGAUAGCGUAUGGUAGCAGCAUGUACCAUCCCAGCCAAAUGACUGUCGGCCCGACAUCUGGAGCUCAGUCUACUAGUCAGCCAAGUGGAGCUCAGCUUGCUCAACAUCAGCUUGCUUAUCAGCAUAUCCACCAGCAGCAGCAACAACAGCUUCAACAACAGCUCCAGGCUUUUUGGUCAAAUCAAUACCAAGAGAUUGAGAGAGUAAUAGACUUCAAGAACCAUAGUCUUCCCUUAGCAAGGAUCAAGAAGAUCAUGAAGGCUGACGAAGACGUGCGAAUGAUAUCAGCCGAGGCACCUGUUUUAUUCGCUAGAGCAUGUGAAAUGUUCAUCCUAGAAUUGACUUUACGGUCAUGGAAUCAUACCGAAGAGAACAAGCGUAGGACACUGCAAAAGAAUGACAUUGCUGCAGCUAUCACAAGAACUGAUAUCUUCGACUUUCUGGUUGAUAUCGUGCCAAGGGAGGAUCUGAAAGAUGAAGCACUCACGUCGAUUCCAAGAGGCUCAAUAACGGUCGGGGGCCCCGGAGAUGCACUUCCUUACUAUAUGUCGUCUCAGCACGCAUCUCAGGUUGGGACACCAGGAAUGAUUAUGGGCAAGCCCGUGAUGGACCCGGGUAGUUAUACUCAACAAUCACACCCUUACAUGCCUCCACAAAUGUGGCAGCACGGCCAAGAUCGAACCCCGACCGAUCAAUAGUAGCUUGCAGCGCCGAGGUGAAGGAGAACCGUACGUCUCUCUGUCCUUUUCGUGCUGGCACAUUAUGAAGAACGAGCAUUUGGAUCGAGUUACCGAAAAACAGAAAGCCGGGUUGUGACGACGAGUACGCAAAACGAGAUAAAUCCGAUGAAAAGGGAGGUUGAGACAAUGAAAGGGCAGCAUAAUGACAUUCAAACCUUGCCAGCGUACGGGAACGAUGACAAGUUUGGAAGCUUUUGUCUUGCUCCACUGUCGAUUUGAACACAUGUGCAGCCUUUUCUAGAAGACAUUCUUUGUUUUAUCGCAUGUUGUCGUGCAUACGGUCCUGUCAAACCAAGACAGAAACAUUCUGGUUUUUGGAUCAUUGGACAAAUUCGAGUCGAGUUUUCCCUUUCUUACAAAAGGUCUAACGAUCUCGGAGUCUCGAGGCUUGGAUGAUCCAACAUGUGGGAGGAUCGAUAUGAAGGAUAAAGAAGAGCUUAUUAGUAGGAUUUAUGGAGGUGGUAACUAUUGGCCAUAUCGGAUGAAGUUGUCGACGGAUCGGUUACGUUGGGAUAGUCUCAAGAUCUCGGAAGGCACGGAAUUCGAGGAAAUGAUGUUGAGGAAUAUGAAUGAAGGAAGCUAUAGAGAUUUGAAUGAGAUGAUCCCUAUUGAAAUAUCAAUCUUUGAUGUUGAUAUUUGUGAGACUUAUAAGGUAAAGUUGGUGAAAAAAGAGGCAUUUUGGUUUGAACCAUUGCCUUUGGUUGGUGAGAAGUCGAAGAAAUAUCAAUCUUCGUUUGUUUAUUCGAUCGAGCCGUUUCGACACAUCGUAAAGAAACGGGGUCUUGAUUAUGGACAAGAGAUCGGUUUGCGUUGGUCAGGUAGCAAAACGAUUGAUCGGUUCGAUUUUUCGGUUUUGUCUUCUUCGAGGUUGAGCUUAUACAACUUGAACUGAAUUUUGGUGGUAGGAGCUUUCAUGUUACUUGCUUAGAUUUAGUAUGUGGGAUGUCUUAGGAAUUAAGAUUUUUGUGGAGUGAUUCCGUAAAAACGAGAUUGUCACGGUAUGUAUGAUUACUAUGCACGAAAUUUUUUAUUUA